CCCCGAUGGUUUUUUUUUUUUUUUUAACUUUUUUGCUUCCUUAUAGAAUUUGGGGACCUUAAAGUCCCUCUCUGUACUUGUAGUUGCCCUAGGUGCCCUUGAGCAAGUCAGAGGAGACCAGAGAAGCUUUCAAAUCCAAAACUUCUGGUGGGGCAAACCUUGGUUUCCUGCCCCAGUGUAGAGGCCUGGCAGCCCUUCCCUUGCACACAGGCCCUCCUCCCAGGCAUACCCUCACCUUUGCCCAGUGCUAUUAACACUGACUCACGGAUCAAAGGACACCCCAGCAAGGAUUCUUGACCAUGGAGAGCUUCAAAGUGUGGAACUCAAGAAGUCAUAGGCAAACCUUUGUAUAUUUGCAUUUUCUUGGAAACAGAAUCCUCAGAGAUGGCUCACCCUCUGGACAGAUGAUGGUAGGUGGUUGUCUCCCAUCAGCAAGAGUUUAUGGAAGAGAUCUUGUCUGCAAGAGGAGGAGGAGAAAAAAGGCAGAGGAAUCCCUCACUUCAAAUGAGGUUAUGGAGAUGCGUAAAAUGUGGGCAACAGUGCAAAAUUUUGUGGAAAAACACCACCCGAAUAAAGCUGUAGCAGUGCGAGCAAUGAAUCUGUCUAACCACAAUACAAUGUCUCAUUUCUGCGAAAUCCUCAAAAGGAGGCAAAAGCAAGUGUCACUGGAUAGGUUCUUUGUUAGAUUUGCAUGAAAAGAAAAAGACCCCAUUGAGCCAACAGAUAGCAGUGAUUCCAUAUUGACAGUGAAAGUCCUCUUAAUGACCCUCCUCUCUCUUGUCUCUCUCACACCGGCCAUGAAGUUUGCAAAAGUGCAG
rnacentral:lncRNA from 1 species